UACGGGGGGAGCAAGCGUUGUUCGGAUUUACUGGGCGUAAAGGGCGCGUAGGCGGCCACGACAAGUCACUUGUGAAAUCUCCGGGCUUAACUCGGAACGGUCAAGUGAUACUGUCGGGCUAGAGUGCAGAAGGGGCAACUGGAAUUCUCGGUGUAGCGGUGAAAUGCGCAGAUAUCAGGAGGAACACCGGUGGCGAAGGCGGGUCUCUGGGCCGAUACUGACGCUGAGGAGCGAAAGCGUGGGGAGCGAACAGG
rnacentral:rRNA from 1 species